GACGAACGCUGGCGGCGUGCCUAAUACAUGCAAGUUGAGCGCUGAAGGUUGGUACUUGUACCAACUGGAUGAGCAGCGAACGGGUGAGUAACGCGUGGGGAAUCUGCCUUUGAGCGGGGGACAACAUUUGGAAACGAAUGCUAAUACCGCAUAAAAACUUUAAACACAAGUUUUAAGUUUGAAAGAUGCAAUUGCAUCACUCAAAGAUGAUCCCGCGUUGUAUUAGCUAGUUGGUGAGGUAAAGGCUCACCAAGGCGAUGAUACAUAGCCGACCUGAGAGGGUGAUCGGCCACAUUGGGACUGAGACACGGCCCAAACUCCUACGGGAGGCAGCAGUAGGGAAUCUUCGGCAAUGGACGAAAGUCUGACCGAUCAACGCCGCGUGAGUGAAGAAGGUUGUCGGAUCGUAAAACUCUGUUGGUAGAGAAGAACGUUGGUGAGAGUGGAAAGCUCAUCAAGUGACGGUAACUACCCAGAAAGGGACGGCUAACUACGUG
rnacentral:rRNA from 1 species